UUGAUCUACACUUGCCACAAAGGAUGAACAGGUUAGGAAGGACAACGCUGGAGUUGUUGUGGUUCAAACCCAAUUUAGAAAAAACACCCUGCAUGUAAAGUGUGGACAGUUUCAUGUUGGUGAAAAAAACCCAAAGGAAAAUCCCCAAACCUUUGCUGCUUGAGUUUGCUCUUUUCAGCGUGUAUUUCCUAAUUUUUGAAAGUGGAAUUCCUAUAUUCAUUUUCUCACAUUGUUGGUGAGUUCUGUAUGGAAGUAUUCGUGGUCAGAGCAAGUCUUUCAGCAAUUGGCACAAGCCCUGAUUCUCCUUGAUUUGCAGCAGCUGAGUUUUUCAAGGUGGGUUUUAGUUCUUCUGGUGUUUUAACACAGGAGCUUUUCAGGACCAUGUGGCAAACAGGUAGAUUAUAUAGCCUAUAAAUAACCUCUUUAGCAGUAAUAACUAGUGUCCUUAAAAAAAAAAUACACUUGGUGAGAAUGGUCUUGUGUUUAUCUCUAGGACCUGACUCUGUCACUUCUACAAACUUUCAAACAAAAUGAGUCAUAAUAUGCCUCAACUUGUGUCUGAGCUUCUCAAGCUGAUGAGAGAGGGGUGGGGACUGACUGGUCAGUCGUCUGCAUCUUGCACGGCCCACUUUAUGUGCCUUAGUCUGUGAGACUGCCAAAGCCCUGUGCUGAUGGCUGAUUUGGAAGCUGGGAUGCAGAAGGAUGUUGUCCUAUUAUCCAGAGAGCUGAUAGUUCAUCUGGCUUCCCAGGCAUGACAGCGAGCUCGCAGUGAUGGCACUACUGAGGCUUUGUGGAUUCUGACUGUAGACAAGCCUCAACAGAAUAACCAGAUCAAAACUGCUAACACCAGAAGUUUCACUUAAAAAUUAAUUAGUAGGAAGGACGAAAAGGAGGAAGGGCGGACACUGCUUUGAUGAUUGAAUUGCAAAAAGUAGCACCAUGAUAACCCUGAAGGGUGUUUGGGCUAAGAGAGCAUAAGAUUUGGAAAUAUGUGGAAAAUAUGUUAAGAGGAACCUCUCCAGUUUGCACAGGGUUUGGACUCUUACUGGCUCAUUCUGACACUUGUGGGGUCUCAGUCCUCAUCAAUCUGCUGCUAAUCAUUUUUGAAAGAGGUGGCUGAUCGUGAUUUCGACCUUUCUGAAUGCUUCUGAUGUUCUGAGGUUUAGAUUGGAUAUUUGGAAACAUUUCUUCAUUGAAAGCAUUGCCCAGCCAUGGCAUAGCCUGCCCAGAGAAGUGGUGGAGUCAUCAUCCCUGGAUGUAUUUAAAAGUUGUGUAAAUGUGGCACUUGGAAAAGUGGUUUAGUGCUGGGUCAACAUUUGGGCUCGAUGCUCUUAGCAGUCUUUUCCAGCUUAAACAAUUCUAAUAUUCUACAUUGCCCAAGGGAAGGAUUCCAGUCCCUUCAAAGAACAAGCCAAAGGACAAGAUAAGGCACCUCAGGUCCAAAACACAGCUUAGCACAAAUCACCAGCUGCACUGGGGUGCACUGGGGAUAGGUCCUCACCUACAUCUGCAGGAGCAGGCAGGCUCCAGUGGUGGGUGGCAGGGCCUGGGAACAUUCAUGUGUUGAAAAAGGCUUCUGUGAGAAACUGCAUUUCACCUUCUUGAGAUGUAAAUUGUGUUCAGCUGGCUUUCCAUGGGCAUAGCUGGUCUCCAGCUUGGAGGAAUAAAAACACCUACUGCAUGACUCCGGGGAGGCUGCAAAGUGAGAAUCUGGAUAUAUGGAUGUGCAUGUCUUCAGUAACAUGUGCAUUUACUGUAGGCAAAAAUUACACCAUUGUUUGCAGUUAUGACUUCCUUAUUCUUCCUGCUAGAGCUCCCUUUUUUCUCUUCUGACUUCACCAAAAUUCCCACUUUGGCUAUAGUUUUCCCUUGUUGCUGCAAUUUUCCAUUGUCUUUUUUUUCUUGCCUCAGGCUUAGUUUGUUUCUGCCAAGUGACAGUACAAGAGGUCUCAAUGGUUUUGACUAAAUUUAGAAGGGAACUGAUGUUUUAUCUUAAAUUUGUCUGAAUUUUUUCAUUAUUUGAACACUUCCAUGUUCAGAGAGGCAGCCUGGAAAUUUGUCUGGAAGAUGAACAUGGAGUAAAGGGUGUGCUAUUUUUGUGUUCAGGAAGUAGCCAAAUGAUUCUGUUGAGUUAUAGGUCUGAAAGAACUUUUGCACGUCUUUGCAGAAGAGGAGAGGGUGGACGCUGGCAGAAACCGGCCUUUGGAAGUUGUAUUUCCUCUAAGGAAAAGGGAAUGGGAGCAAUUGUAUGGAAUACUGAGAUUGAGACAGAUGAGCAGAUGGAGAAACAAGGAUAAGGGAAGUGGGAAGGAAAGUGAAUGAAGCUUGUGUGGUAGCAAAUAAACAAGAGAAUCACUUAAAGGGACUGCUGCCUAAAAUUUGCCACAACACACAGACAUUUUCAACCUCUGCAUUUCUGUAUGGCCAGCCAGAAGCUGUGUAAUUUGUUGCCAUGUUGUUCCCUGCCCUGGUUCACAGGAAGUUGACGGCUUCCAAAUCGUGCCAAGAUCUCACGUGGUUGAGACCUGCUUGAUGUGGAGGUUUUCAGCAGAAAUACCAAUACUGAUGUGAAUGGAAACACCUGGCUGAAGACAACAGAAAAACAGCAGAUGAAGGGUUAAAGGUGUGGCAUGUAUUAAUUGCUGCAGAACCACACCAUGUGUUUCAUGCAAAUAAAUAACCAGAGGACAAAACCCCAAACCAGAGCCUUUAGAGAUAAAGUGACAAGAUGAUGACCCACAGCAGAGAAACUGUGAAGUGCCCAGAAAAAAGGUAACAAAAGACUCAGUUUUGCCUGAAACUCUUGGAGGGUGAGACACAAGAUGAUCAUAUCCACUGCUGAAGGGUACAAAAGAUGCAUACAAAAAUGAAGAAGAGCCCACCCAGAGUUGCAGGGGAGUGGUGGUGUUAUCCUCGGUGCUUCCUGCUGUACUUGGCUGAUCCUGAACACAUUGAUGCAUACAAACCUGUGCAUCCAUCCUGUUUGAAGGGGCGGGUUCAGUGCAGAUGAGUUUUUGGUUCAUUGUGCCUUCCUGCUGCUGCUGAUCUGAUGCUGUGGAUGUUGUCUGCCAGACAUUGGACACUGCUGCAGGCAGCCUCUUGGGCUGCCUUUGAAGAAGGCAAGCUUGCCAGAGCUUAACCACAGGCCAGCAAAGAUAUUCAAACCUGUGUCAAAGAAAUAAGCCUAAAAGUUCUCUCGGAGAAGUUACACUGUAGAAAGGUAGGGGCUUUCCAUAAAAGCUUCCCUUGAGUUUAACUCUGGUAUCUUAAAGCUAUAGCUGUCCUGAGCAUUCCCACUUUUGGGAAUGCUGUGCAGCCUAGUGAAGCAAGAGAUGUUCAAUUUUAAUAACUUUACAAGCACUAAGUACAUUGCUCUGUGUUUUACGAAUGUACUUGCGGGGAUUUUUGCUGCAUGAUAAAAUUAUUUUGAAUAUUUUAUCCAAGGCCU